rnacentral:tRNA from 1 species
GCCCACUUAGCUCAGUGGUAGAGCAUCCGCUUCACACGCGGGAGGCCAGAAGUUCAAGUCUUCUAGUGGGCA